UGAGGGAAGGACUUGGGGAAUUAUUACUGUGUACACUUGUGCUGGUGCUGCAGAGUUCUUUCUUCUAGGGACAUGCCCUCUCCCUCCAAUUAAAUAUAUUCUAGGUCCAAAAACUGGUUCAAGUCCAGAAACUGGGCAAGUGAUCAUGACUUUGUAUCAGAGCAUCAGCCUUUAACCUCUUGAUCAUCCAUUGUUGGCUUAAUUUGGUUGUUCAGAUUGAAGACUUUCUUUGAUGGUUGCCCAUUUCUUUUGCUCCAGAUGGCUUAUUUGUCAUCUCCAAAACAUCUGUGGGUAAAGCCCCCUGGACUGCCGCUCUUGCCUUGCAGUGUCCAUUUGGCUGUUGAAGUUUGAGUGCCAUCAUGUCACUUCAGUGUUACAAGGUUCCAUCAUCUCUACUGUUCUCAGUGAACCCAGUUCUGAAAUGGUAUCUUCUGUCUUCACCCUGGACUACAGGGAGAACCACUGCUGAGUCUUAGAGUGAUGCUGAUUCCUCUCUAACCAGAUAAUGCCUUAUUGAUUUGGAAGGAUAAAGGCUUACCUCCUCAGCAGGACUCCUCAGAUGGGGCAUGAUAUGCCCUGUUCUUGCAUCUGCAGGAUCACAGAUGACAAAUUCCUCAUCUCAACACAUCCAUGUUGUUUUCUCUGUCUGUGGGUCGCACCUGACUUUUUAAAGCUUCAGGGCCUUUGCACAGGCUGUUUCCUCUGCUUGGAAUGCUUUCUGCCCUCUCUGCCUGGACAAUUUGCAUUCUUUUUUUUUUUUUUUUUGAGAUGGAGUUUUGCUCCUGUUGCCCAGGCUGGAGGGCAAUGAUGUGACCUUGGCUCACCGCAACCUCCGCCUCCUGGGUUCAAGCAAUUCUCCCACCUUAGCCUCCCGAGUAGCUGGGAUUACAGGUAUGCACCACUAUGCCCGGCUAAUUUUGUAUUUUUAGUAGAGAUGGGGUUUCUCCAUGUUGGUCAGGCUGGUCUUGAACUCCUGACCUCAGGUGAUCUGCCUGCCUUGGCCUCCCAAAGUGCUGGGAUUGCAUUUAUUUUUAAGGUUUUUGUCUAAAUGUUUCUUUCUCAGAGAGGCAUUCCCUAACCCUCAAUGUAGAUCAAGGCCACUUGUUAUAUGCUCUCACAAUGCCUGUCGUCUGUAGCUGGCCUUUUCAGCACUUAUCAUCGUGAUAACAACAUAGUUAUUUAUGUGUUUAGCUGUUCAGUGCCUGUCUCUCUCCCUCUGCCACGUUUUAUGAAGGCAAGAACUAUGGCUAUUUUCUUCUUUCCUCUUUCCCCAGCACUUAAUGCCUGACAUGGGAGCUUAAUACAUAUUUGUUGAUUGAAUAAAUAAAUGGUAAUAGUGA